GCUGUCCUCAGACUAUGUGGGGAUACACUAUGAGAAUGGGAAGCCCGUCCUUUGGAGGCCCCGUUCUCUGUUGGAUUUCGUCAGUUCUUUGUGUCGUUUGGAUUUCGUCAGUUCCUCGUGUCGUCUGGAUGUUCAACGGUUCCUGAGUUUCUCUUCACACUCUUCACCGCACCACCACCGGAUCGCCAUCUCGUCCCUGCUUCACCACCACCACCUGAUUGUUUGUCCCUGGCCUGUGUCUUUACUCUGACCCUCAUUAUUAUUAAACUUGUUAACUUGCAUCUUGCAUCCUCUCAUUAUUCAUCACAGAACGAUCUGAC
ensembl:lncRNA